UAAUAGAACUGACCCACUGGGCACACACUGGUUGAAUAUACAUUGUUUCCACACAAUUUCAAUGAAAUUAUGUUGAACCAACGUGGGUUAGACGUUGAAUUGACGUCUGUGCUCAGUGGGGAUGAAUAUCGCUAACUCACACACGUCAUUCAUACAGCUCCAGCAAAACAAAACAAACGAGUGUGACUCAUUUAAAAUAGUGAUAGACAGACAAGGCCGCAGAACCUGGCAUUCUUCAACACUAAAGCGCCUGACUGCUUUCUUUCACAGGGACAUCGAAUAGCAAACUAAAGUCAACUACUUUCUUUUCUUCAGAGAAAAAAGAGAGAAAUGUUCAGGAGACAGACUAAUGGGUUUUGUGCGUGUGGUUGUGUAUGUGUGACGGGGGUCUUUUAAUCAUUUUGUGUCCCCUACACCAUGUGGUGACAGUGUGUGUGUGUAAAAGAGAGGGAGAGAAAGAGAGCGUUAAACACACAGAGAGGAGAGAGACACAAAGCACCCAGGGGCUCUCGGUAAAGCAUACCAGUAGAGCUUUAAGUCUCUGUCACCCUUACAGAGCCCAAAUCAGAAGUGACUACCAUCCUCAAGCCACACACACAUUACAGCUUCCCUGCUCACACACACAGCACACAGACACACACCCACACCAACUACCAAUCACAACACACACAUACAUUACUGUACACACAUCCCAACUACCCUGUUCCAGUCACAACCCAGGUACUUUAGGUCUAAACUUGACAACUAAGGAGAAGAGACAGAGAGACGGGUGAUGGAGAGAGGGAAUGGGGCUCCUUCUCUUUUUGUUGUUGUUGUCGCUCUAAGCAAGGACAACUUCUUGACCUGAGAGGAAGUAGAUAUGAGGGGAGAGGAAAGGCAGAGAGGUGGAGAGAAAGAAAGAGGGCGAGAGAGAGAGGGAAGAGUUAGAGAUAGAGACAGCGAGCGAAAGAGAGAAAGAGAAAUGAAGAGACAUGAAGGGACAGAGCGAGAAAGAGGUAGAAUGAGAGAGAGGGAGAAAGAGGGAGAAAGAGAGAGAGGGAGUCAAAGAGGUAGAAGAAGAGAGGGAGAGACAGAGAGAGAGGUAGAAAGAGAGAAAGGGAGUCAAAGAGGUAGAAAGAGAGAGAGGGAGUCAAAGAGGUAGAAAGAGAGAGGGGAGACAGAGAGAGAGGUAGAAAGAGAGAAAGGGAGUCAAAGAGGUAGAAAGAGAGAGAGGGAGUCAAAGAGGUAGAAAGAGAGAGAGGGAGUCAAAGAGGUAGAAAGAGAGAGAGGGAGUCAGAGGUAGAAAGAGAGAGAGGGAGACAGAGAGAGAGGUAGAAAGAGAGAGAGGGAGUCAAAGAGGUAGAAAGAGAGAGAGGGAGUCAGAGGUAGAAAGAGAGAGAGGGAGUCAAAGAGGUAGAAAGAGAGAGGGGAGACAGAGAGAGAGGUAGAAAGAGAGAAAGGGAGUCAAAGAGGUAGAAAGAGAGAGGGGGAGACAGAGAGAGAGGUAGAAAGAGAGAAAAGGAGUCAAAGAGGUAGCAAGAGAGAGGGGGAGACAGAGAGAGAGGUAGAAAGAGAGAAAGGGAGUCAAAGAGGUAGAAAGAGAGAGGGGGAGACAGAGAGAGAGGUAGAAAGAGAGAAAGGGAGUCAAAGAGGUAGAAAGAGAGAGGGGGAGACAGAGAGAGAGGUAGAAAGAGAGAAAGGGAGUCAAAGAGGUAGAAAGAGAGAGGGGGAGACAGAGAGAGAGGUAGAAAGAGAGAGAGGGAGACAGAGAGAGAGGUAGAAAGAGAGAGAGGGAGUCAGAGGUAGAAAGAGAGAGAGGGAGACAGAGAGAGAGGUAGAAAGAGAGAAAGGGAGUCAAAGAGGUAGAAAGAGAGAGAGGGAGUCAAAGAGGUAGAAAGAGAGAGAGGGAGACAGAGAGAGAGGUAGAAAGAGAGAGAGGGAGUCAAAGAGGUAGAAAGAGAGAGGGGGAGACAGAGAGAGAGGUAGAAAUAGAGAAAGGGAGUCAAAGAGGUAGAAAGAGAGAGGGGGAGACAGAGAGAGAGGUAGAAAUAGAGAAAGUGAGUCAAAGAGGUAGAAAGAGAGAGAGGGAGUCAGAGGUAGAAAAAGAGAGAGAGAGAGAGAGAGAGGUAGAAAGAGAGAGAGGGAGUCAGAGGUAGAAAAAGAGAGAGGGAGACAGAGAGAGAGGUAGAAAGAGAGAGAGGGAGUCAAAGAGGUAGAAAGAGAGAGAGGGAGUCAAAGAGGUAGAAAGAGAGAGAGAGGGAGACAGAGAGAGGUAGAAAGAGAGAGAGGGAGUCAGAGGUAGAAAGAGAGAGAGGGAGUCACAGAGGUAGAAAGAGAGAUGGGGAGACAGAGAGAGAGGUAGAAAUAGAGAAAGGGAGUCAAAGAGGUAGAAAGAGAGAGGGGGAGACAGAGAGAGAGGUAGAAAGAGAGAACGGGAGUCAAAGAGGUAGAAAGAGAGAGGGGGAGACAGAGAGAGGGGGAGACAGAGA